rnacentral:rRNA from 1 species
CCUACGGGUGGCAGCAGUGGGGAAUAUUGCGCAAUGGCCGAAAGGCUGACGCAGCGACGCCGCGUGGGGGAUGAAGCAUUUCGGUGUGUAAACCCCUGUUGCUCGGGACGAACAAGCGGUUUCGACCGCUCUGACGGUACCGGGUGAGGAAGCACCGGCUAACUCCGUGCCAGCAGCCGCGGUAAUACGGAGGGUGCGAGCGUUGUCCGGAAUCACUGGGCGUAAAGGGCGCGUAGGCGGUCUGCUAAGCGUGCGGUGAAAGCCCGGGGCUCAACCCCGGGUCUGCCGUGCGAACUGGUGGACUCGAGCACUGUAGAGGCAGGUGGAAUUCCGGGUGUAGCGGUGGAAUGCGUAGAGAUCCGGAAGAACACCGGUGGCGAAGGCGGCCUGCUGGGCAGUAGCUGACGCUGAUGCGCGAUAGCGUGGGGAGCAAACAGGAUUAGAUACCCUAGUAGUC